UAAACGACUCUCGGCAACGGAUAUCUCGGCUCACGCAUCGAUGAAGAACGUAGCAAAAUGCGAUACUUGGUGUGAAUUGCAGAAUCCCGUGAACCAUCGAGUUUUUGAACGCAAGUUGCGCCCGAAGCCAUCAGGUUGAGGGCACGUCUGCCUGGGCGUCACGC
rnacentral:rRNA from 1 species